GAGUGUCGGGUUAAGUCCCGCAACGAGCGCAACCCCUGCAUUCAGUUGCCAUCGGGUAAUGCCGGGCACUCUGGAAGGACUGCCAUCGACAAGAUGGAGGAAGGUGGGGAUGACGUCAAGUCAUCAUGGCCCUUAUGUCCAGGGCGACACACGUGCUACAAUGGCCGGCACAACGGGAAGCGAGUUCGCGAGGACAAGCGGAUCCCUUAAAGCCGGUCGCAGUUCGGAUUGAAGUCUGCAACUCGACUUCAUGAAGCUGGAAUCGCUAGUAAUCGUGGAUCAGCCAAGCCGCGGUGAAUACGUUCCCGGGCCUU
rnacentral:rRNA from 1 species